rnacentral:misc_RNA from 1 species
GAGCGCACACGCAAUCGGCAAAGUAGGCGCGAAAAGAGGCGCUGGCACCAACAGACGCACGCACAGAGGGAGAGACGUACACAGGCGCAAACGCGUGCGGGCGGAAAAGCGAAGCACUUCCGAACAGGCGGUAGUGCGGAAAGACGAGGAAAAGGGAUUUCUUACGGGCGCGGCGCUACCAAGCAGCAGCAGCGGGAAUCCAUGCAGGCACUCGACGGCGUGCAGCACGAUCAGAAGCAGCAGCGGGAGACGCAGCAUAAGCUGGGUCUCCCCACCAACUACCGCUUUGAGAUUGACAAGUGUAUCAAGCGCAUCAAGGAAAAAGAUGCCCGCCGCGUCGCCUUGCAGUUUCCCGAAGGACUGCUUAUGUUUGCCAUUCCCAUCGCUGACAUUCUGGAGGAGGCCACGGGGUCUGAAAUGGUCAUCCUAGGCGAUGUCACGUAUGGGGCGUGCUGUGUCGAUGAUUUCUCGGCAGCGGCCCUCGGGUGCGACUUUCUCAUCCACUACGGACACAGCUGCCUCAUCUCCAUCAAAGACUGCAUUGUAGCGAACAUGAUGUACGUCUUCGUCGAGAUCGACAUCGAUGUACAACACUUUGUUGACACCAUCAAGGCUCUCGUGCCCGCAGAUACGCGGGUUGCGUGCAUCGGCACCGUCCAGUUUAUCUCGUCCAUGAGAGCCGGGCUGCGCGUGCUGCAAGCGGAGCACUUUAUCCACCCUGUCGUCAUCCCGCAAAACCGGCCGCUGUCAACCGGUGAGGUGCUCGGCUGCACGAGCCCCAAGGUGAACCCGGCGGAUGUGGACUUGGUGCUCUACGUGGGCGACGGACGCUUUCACGUGGAGUCCUUCCUCAUCGCACACCCUGACCUCAGCGCCCUCCAGUAUGACCCAUACAAGAAGACGCUGUCGCGAGAGACCUACGCCACGGCCGAGAUGCGCACACUCCGCCGGGAGGCGGUUGAGAAGGCAAAGGCGGCGCAGAGCUUUGCGAUUGUGAUGGGGACGCUAGGCCGUCAGGGACACCCCCGCGUCGUUGACCGCAUCAUUGCGCUAGCGCAGCGCCACGGAAAGCGCGUGACGCUGUUGCUCAUGUCCGAGAUCUUUCCGCAGAAGAUGGCAAUGCUCGAGGAUGUGGACUGCUACAUCCAGGUCGCGUGUCCGCGACUCUCCAUCGACUGGGGCUACGCCUUCGACCGCCCGCUGCUGUCUCCGUACGAGGCUGAGGUGGCCUUGGGCAACGCCCAGUGGGGGGAGGAGUAUCCGAUGGACCACUACUCCCGCGAAGGAGGUAACUGGGCCGUGUACACCGACAAGUCUCUGUAGACAGGGAAGGACGAACUGCUGAUGCGCGUCAAGGCGACCUCGCAAAAACAUGCAGCGCAUUCCACCUUUCCCUGCCCCGGUCCCUCCUCCACGUGCCCACCCUUACAUACUCUAUCGAGAGGACAGCGCAGCACGUGAAGCGCCCAUUGAAGUUGCACGAAGACCGUGCACUUGAAGCUUCGCCGAAACGACAGCUAUUGCGCAGCGCAGGGCAUUUCGGGCAGCAAGCAGCCGUUUUGAAUCGGUGGCUCCCAAGAGAUCUGUCACUGGGGCAUGAGCCCAUGCAUUUGGUGGCCAUCCUGCCGUGAGGAACUCGUGUAUCUCUCCCUUUGUGUGAAUGUGAUGAGUGGUGCUCGUGCGGAAAGAAAAAAGACCGAAAAGGCUGGAAAAAGCCGACGACUAAUCACGCGUAAGUAUAUUCGGCACACUGAAAGAGGCAGGGAACUAAAAGGCGGAAGCAGAAGUUACCGAGAAAACAUUCCGCAACAGUCACGCUGCGGCACGCAUGCACGGUGCACGACGGACGGGAGCGGGAAAAAGGGCAUACGACUCACACCGUGCUGUUGCCGUGCUUCUUGUGUAGAGUGCGCGUGUUCGUGUACUGCUCGGGGUCGACGGUGUGCCCAUCUCGGUUCCUUUCCUCCUCUCUCCCCCUCUGGGAGCGACCCUGCGGCUUGUGCGCCGAGGUAGCACAGUUCUCUCAUCCAUCACCGGGGGCUCUACGUUUUUUCCACUUCCAUAAAACAAAGUAACGGCACGAGAUAAAAAAAAAACUACCGACUCCUACGCCGGUGAUCACUAGGGCCAGAUCACCACUGUCCCCUAACACUGCAACCCACUGCCUUCUCCACUUCUACGUCACCCCUUCGUCUCUCAUUCUCUCUUUCACGUCACAG